GAAGCCGCCGCCGUGCGAGCACUCUUCGAAGGCCUCCUCCAGGAGCACGACCAUCCCGUCCGCCUGGCCGGCCCGCUCCCCGUCUCCCCCCACGCUCCCCACCACCGGCGCUGAGACCGAGUCAUCCGGCGACGACGAGAUCGCAUCUGAAUCCGGCGACUCUUCCCGCCCCGCGCGCACCCGCCGCGACCUGAGGUGAGUGUGUGAGUGGUUUCCGAUGCACUAUCUCUCUCCAUAUUUUCUUCGAUCCGGUGCUAGCUGAUCUGAUCUCGACGGUUGUCUCUGUUGUUGUCCGCGAGGGGCUGGGCGAGUGGGGUGCGCAGUGGACCGAGUUCGUCUCGUGGGAGCCCAGGGCGUUCGUCUACCACAAGUUCCUGUUUCAGACUUUUGUCAAAGCAGGAUAAUGGACUUGAAGUGAUUGCAGAUUUCUUAGCAAGAUCAGACAGACAAAAAGAAAGGUUCAGACAAGAUACAACAUGGGUGUCAAGGUGCGCAUAGGUGCAUUCACAAAGAGAAUUCUGAAGCUUCAUGGCGUGCCCCACCAGACCACGUUGUCGACGAGUGCGUCCGUCACCACUCCCUCUGCCAUCAUGGCUCACAUUUUUUGUUCUACAACAGUUGAUGUAGCGUCUUUCAUUGAGUCUUCCACUGUUCAGAUUACCAACACGACUCUUAUGUAAUUAUCAUGGUGCUAAUUCUAUAGUUAUUAGGGUGCUAAUGA